UUUGAUUUAUUAUUCAUGCUUGUGUUUGACAUUCCAUAUAACUUAUUUUUCCUUGGUUUGUUAGAAUUUAAACCAAUUACUAAGGAAAUAUGCAAGUUGCCGUCGUUCUUCUCAAGGGCUCUUUUUAGGAAGAUUGAUGUUGAGGGAACGGGCAUCAUAACAAGGGAUGCCUUUGUUGAUUAUUGGGUCAACGGAAAUAUGUUGACAAAAGAUAUAGCAACCCAGAUUUACACAAUCUUGAAGCAGCUAGAUCUCAAACACCUGACACAGGAUGAUUUCAAGCCCGUGCUUCAAGAGCUUUUGGCAACACAUCCUGGGUUAGAGUUCUUACGGAGCACACCUGAAUUUCAAGAGCGAUAUGCUGAAACUGUAAUAUACAGAAUAUUUUUCUACGUGAAUAGAUUGGGUAAUGGUCAACUUACCCUCAGGGAGCUGAAGCGUUCAGACCUAAUUGCUGCAAUGCAACAUGCGGAUGAAGAAGAAGAUAUUAACAAGGUCCUUAGGUACUUCUCUUACGAACACUUUUACGUGAUAUAUUGCAAGUUUUGGGAGCUCGAUACGGAUCAUGAUUUUCUGAUUGAUAAAGAGAACCUCAUUCGAUAUGGCAACCAUGCCCUUACAUACAGGAUUGUUGAUAGAAUAUUUUCUCAGGUUCCAAGGAAGUUUACAAGUAAAGUUGAAGGAAAGAUGGGUUAUGAAGACUUUGUUUACUUUAUAUUGUCGGAGGAGGAUAAAACAUCAGAGCCUGGUCUUGAAUACUGGUUCAAAUGCAUAGAUUUGGAUGGAAACGGUGUUCUGACUAGGAAUGAAAUGCAAUUUUUUUAUGAGGAGCAGUUGCAUAGAAUGGAAUGCAUGGGCCAAGAGCCAGUGCUUUUUGAGGAUAUAUUGUGCCAGAUGGUCGACAUGAUUAGUCCAGAGGAUGAAAGUUAUUUUAUGUUACAUGACUUGAAGGGCAAUAAGUUAUCCGGCAGUGUUUUCAAUAUACUCUUUAACCUCAAUAAGUUCAUGGCAUUUGAAACUCGCGACCCGUUCCUAAUACGUCAGGAGCGUGAGAACCCGAAUUUGACUGAGUGGGAUCGCUUUGCACAUAGAGAAUAUAUUAGACUCUCAAUGGAGGAAGAUGCAGAGGAUGCCUCCAAUGGAAGUGCAGAUGUCUGGGAUGAAUCACUUGAGGCUCCUUUUUGAGUUCAGUUGGCAAGGUGGAAAGGUGUGGACUAUCCAUUUAUCUACAUCUCCUUCAACCGUUUCCAGGAAUGUGCCUGCAUCGUACAUUACCUCAAGCUAAAUUUUGAGCUGCAAAAGUGAAUUUUGCACAGAUAAGAAUCAAGUGGGACAAGCUGCUCUCUGUGUUCCACCAAGAUGUUCUCUUUGAGAUAGCCACAGAGGAAUUUUUUAUUGGUCUGCACAGAGCAUGCUCUCAAGUGUUUCUGUCCAUGCUAGUCUGAAAGCUGCCAACAUGAAUUAUCAAGGGCUUGGCAAAUGGACGAUUGGCGAUUGACUGUCAAAUGUACCUUCUUGUAAUUCAGAACUUUCACAUUUGUUCUCUCUUUAAGAAAUCAAUGUUAUUAAUUAUUUGUUGUAGUUCCAAUUUUUAGCGGUGUCAGAUACCUUUUUCUCUAGAUGAGGUUUAGUGUAGUGAGUGCCAAUGUGCCAAGUUGUAUGCUUCUCGUUCCCUUUUUGUGGUCUGUGAAUCUUGGUAGUUGUGUAUGAGCUGCAAUGAUAUUCUUCUCUUUCUUUGUCCUGCUACUUGGAUGUUGACCUCAAGGAUUUAUAAUUUUUCUGACAAA